GUCUGAUCCAGCCAUGCCGCGUGAAGGAUUAAGGCCCUCUGGGUUGUAAACUUCUUUUAUAGGGGACGAAAAAGGGGCUUUCUAGCUCAACUGACGGUACCCUAUGAAUAAGCACCGGCUAACUCCGUGCCAGCAGCCGCGGUAAUACGGAGGGUGCAAGCGUUAUCCGGAUUCACUGGGUUUAAAGGGUGCGUAGGCGGGCAUUUAAGUCAGUGGUGAAAUCUUGGGGCUCAACCCCGAAACUGCCAUUGAUACUAUUUGUCUUGAAUACUGUGGAGGUUAGCGGAAUAUGUCAUGUAGCGGUGAAAUGCUUAGAUAUGACAUAGAACACCGA
rnacentral:rRNA from 1 species